UACGUAGGGGGCAAGCGUUGUCCGGAAUUAUUGGGCGUAAAGCGCGCGCAGGCGGUCUUUUAAGUCUGGUGUUUAAGCCCGGGGCUCAACCCCGGUACGCAUCGGAAACUGGAAGACUUGAGUGUAGGAGAGGAAAGUGGAAUUCCACGUGUAGCGGUGAAAUGCGUAGAGAUGUGGAGGAACACCAGUGGCGAAGGCGACUUUCUGGCCUAUAACUGACGCUGAGGCGCGAAAGCGUGGGGAGCAAACAGG
rnacentral:rRNA from 1 species